GUGCCAGCCGCCGCGGUAAUACGGAGGAUGCGAGCGUUAUCCGGAUUUAUUGGGUUUAAAGGGUGCGUAGGCGGGCGAUUAAGUCAGCGGUGAAAGUUUGCGGCUCAACCGUAAAAUUGCCGUUGAAACUGGUUGUCUUGAGAGUAAACGAGGUAGGCGGAAUGUAACGUGUAGCGGUGAAAUGCUUAGAUAUGUUACAGAACUCCGAUUGCGAAGGCAGCUUACCAGGCUAUAUCUGACGCUGAGGCACGAAAGCGUGGGUAUCAAACAGGAUUAGAUACCCUGGUAGUCCACGCAGUAAACGAUGAAUACUAGCUGUUGGCGAUAGAAUGUCAGUGGUAAAGCGAAAGUGUUAAGUAUUCCACCUGGGGAGUACGCCGGCAACGGUGAAACUCAAAGGAAUUGACGGGGGCCCGCACAAGCGGAGGAACAUGUGGUUUAAUUCGAUGAUACGCGAGGAACCUUACCCGGGCUUGAAAGUUAGUGAAUGAUGUGGAAACACAUCAGUGUAGCAAUACACACGAAACUAGGUGCUGCAUGGUUGUCGUCAGCUCGUGCCGUGAGGUGUCGGCUUAAGUGCCAUAACGAGCGCAACCCCUGCUGUCAGUUGCCAUCAGGUAAAGCUGGGUACUCUGUCGGGACUGCUACUGUAAGGUAGAGGAGGGUGGGGAUGACGUCAAAUCAGCACGGCCCUUACGUCCGGGGCGACACACGUGUUACAAUGGUAGGUACAGAGGGUAGCUACUCGGCGACGAGAUGCCAAUCUCCUAAAACCUGCCUCAGUUCGGAUCGGAGUCUGCAACUCGACUCCGUGAAGCUGGAUUCGCUAGUAAUCGCGCAUCAGCCAUGGCGCGGUGAAUACGUUCCCGGGCCUUGCACACACCGCCCGU
rnacentral:rRNA from 1 species